rnacentral:rRNA from 1 species
UAGGAUAGAGGCCUACCAUGGUUUUAACGGGUAACGGGGAAUUAGGGUUCGAUUCCGGAGAGGGAGCCUGAGAAACGGCUACCACAUCCAAGGAAGGCAGCAGGCGCGCAAAUUACCCAAUCCCGACACGGGGAGGUAGUGACAAUAAAUAACAAUACGGGGCUCAUUUGGGUCUCGUAAUUGGAGUGAGUACAAUUUAAAUCUCUUAACGAGGAACAAUUGGAGGGCAAGUCUGGUGCCAGCAGCCGCGGUAAUUCCAGCUCCAAUAGCGUAUAUUAAAGUUGUUGCAGUUAAAAAGCUCGUAGUUGAACUUCGGGGUUUACCCAUUGGUCAGGCUUAAUUGUCUGUACUGGUGAGAUAAAUCUCUACCUUCUGAGGAACUUUCAUGUCAUUAAUUUGGUGUGAUUGGAAAUCAGGACUGUUACUUUGAAAAAAUUAGAGUGUUUAAAGCAGGCUAACGUCUGAAUACAUUAGCAUGGAAUAAUGAGAUAGGACGGAUUGAUUCUAUUUCGUUGGUUUCUAGGAUCACCGUAAUGAUUAAUAGGGAUAGUUGGGGGCAUUAGUAUUCAAUUGUCAGAGGUGAAAUUCUUGGAUUUAUUGAAGACUAACUACUGCGAAAGCAUUUGCCAAGGAUGUUUUCAUUAAUCAAGAACGAAAGUUAGGGGAUCGAAGACGAUCAGAUACCGUCGUAGUCUUAACCAUAAACUAUGCCGACUAGGGAUCGGACGAA